AGAGUUUGAUCAUGGCUCAGAUUGAACGCUGGCGGCAGGCCUAACACAUGCAAGUCGAACGGUAACAGGAAGAAGCUUGCUUCUUUGCUGACGAGUGGCGGACGGGUGAGUAAUGUCUGGGAAACUGCCUGAUGGAGGGGGAUAACUACUGGAAACGGUAGCUAAUACCGCAUAACGUCGCAAGACCAAAGAGGGGGACCUUCGGGCCUCUUGCCAUCGGAUGUGCCCAGAUGGGAUUAGCUUGUUGGUGGGGUAACGGCUCACCAAGGCGACGAUCCCUAGCUGGUCUGAGAGGAUGACCAGCCACACUGGAACUGAGACACGGUCCAGACUCCUACGGGAGGCAGCAGUGGGGAAUAUUGCACAAUGGGCGCAAGCCUGAUGCAGCCAUGCCGCGUGUAUGAAGAAGGCCUUCGGGUUGUAAAGUACUUUCAGCGGGGAGGAAGGGAGUAAAGUUAAUACCUUUGCUCAUUGACGUUACCCGCAGAAGAAGCACCGGCUAACUCCGUGCCAGCAGCCGCGGUAAUACGGAGGGUGCAAGCGUUAAUCGGAAUUACUGGGCGUAAAGCGCACGCAGGCGGUUUGUUAAGUCAGAUGUGAAAUCCCCGGGCUCAACCUGGGAACUGCAUCUGAUACUGGCAAGCUUGAGUCUCGUAGAGGGGGGUAGAAUUCCAGGUGUAGCGGUGAAAUGCGUAGAGAUCUGGAGGAAUACCGGUGGCGAAGGCG
rnacentral:rRNA from 1 species